GAUGAACGCUGGCGGCGUGCCUAACACAUGCAAGUCGAGCGGAAAGGCCCUGCUUUUGUGGGGUUCUCGAGUGGCGCACAGGGGUGUAACACGCGAGUAUCCCGCCCUUGUCUUUGGGAUAACUUCACGAAACUGGGGCUAAUACCGGAUAGGAGCUCCUGCUGCGUGGGGGGCGUUGGAAAGUUUCGGCUGUUGGGGCUUGUAUGGCGGCUUAUCAGCUUGUUGGUGGGGUAGUGGCAUACCAAGGCUUUGACGGCUAGGCCGCCUGAGAGGGUGAACGGCCUCAAUGGGACUGCGGGACGGCCCAGACGGCAACGGGAGGCAACGGUGGAGAAUAUUGCGCAGCGGGCGCGAGCGUGAUGCAGCAGCGCCGGGAUCGGAAAGACGGCCUUCGGGUGGUAAACCGCUGUCGCCGGUGACGAGGCGGGAGUGACGGUAAUUGGUAAAGAAGCACCGGCUAACUACGUG
rnacentral:rRNA from 1 species